CUAAAGGUCUCGCAUCAUGGCUGACCUUGUUCUCUGACCCCAGCUUCUUCCUAUCAAAAGAAUUUCACUGUACUGCUGCUUCCAUUUUUUUUUCUUCUUCUACUGGCAUGUUUCCGGGAGGUGGGAGGAAACUAGAGAACCCAGAGGAAACCCACAUGGACAACGGGAGAGUAUGCAAAGAAACCAGAGACCCUGGAGCUGGUCACAAGGAACCUGGAGCAUUUCCUAGUGGACUCAGGGAACAGGGCGGGAGACACCCUUCGCAGGGCACAAUCACAUAAACACUAUGGACAAUUUAGGGAUGCCAAUCAGCCUACAGCACAUAUCUUUGGACUGGGGGAGGAAACCAGAGUACCCGGAGGAAACCCCCAAAACAUGGGGAGAACGUUCAAGGCACACAGUGCGGAGGCAGGAAUCAAACCCCAACCCCAGAGAUGAGAAGAGUGUGGAGAGUCCAUGGGAGGUGUGAAUGGGAGCCUUCCUUCAACAGGCAUUUUACUGCGUUAAGAGAAACCACCAUUGUUUAUUGAUUAUUAUAUAGCUUACUCAAUACUAUAAGCUGCAUUACAACUCUAUUACCACUGUUGAGGCUGAUGAUACUCAUAUAUACCUGUGCUUUUGUCCAGAAUAUCUGUCAGAACACAUUGGUAUCCCAGCCUAAAUUAACGAUCACCAUUUCUCAACAUUUUGAAACCAGCAUUUAAAAAUUUUUUAUCCUGCCAAGUCCCUUACAUUAACAAAAGCUUUUCAGGAGAGAAACAUUUUAUCUCAUUGACUAUCAUCGACAAAUCUUAGGGUCAUGGUUGGUGACAAGACCAACUUCAUGGCAGUAUCUCAGUCUUGCUUUGCUCUAUUUAAUAUCAGGAAGAUCAGAGUUUUGUAAUACAUGACACAGCCUCUUGUCCAGACACUUGUCAUCUCUGUUGACAGAAUCAAAAUAUGAUUGUG
ensembl:lncRNA